rnacentral:tRNA from 1 species
UGGCUCAGAGGUUAAAGCGUCUGCCUGGAAUGCAGGAGACCUGGGUUUGAUCCCUAG